rnacentral:rRNA from 1 species
UACGAAGGGGGCGAGCGUUGUUCGGAUUUACUGGGCGUAAAGGGCGCGUAGGCGGGGAGGUAAGUCGGGGGUGAAAUCCCUCGGCCCAACCGAGGAACUGCGCCCGAGACUGCUUCUCUUGAGUCCCGGAGAGGAAGGUGGAAUUCCCGGUGUAGCGGUGAAAUGUGUAGAGAUCGGGAGGAACACCGGUGGCGAAGGCGGCCUUCUGGACGGUGACUGACGCUGAGGCGCGAAAGCGUGGGGAGCAAACGGG